CAAAGCAUGCCGAGACGUCAUUUCCUUCACCAAUAAGUGCGGCCUUGAAAAUGUCUCUCUUCAUCAGAAAUAAAUGCAAAAUUUGACUUUUUUCUCACUUCCAGAUAAGCAGCUCCGUGGUAAAGACUCACAUAUUGGAGUCAUCUGGAGGUCGGGCUGUUUAUUUCUACAUACAAAGGGGCAUUGAACGCUCAUCGUCUCUGGUAGACACAGCCACACAAUGACUGGCCGUCCAGAGGUCCCCAGCUGUUUCUUGGGUUCAAAACCCAAUUUUGUGGAGCUAAAACUUGAGAGAGACAGCCAUCAGGAGUCCGAGUUUACGGUCGAUGGACAAAACAACAUUGUUAUCACGUUCAAAGCGGGAGUUCCUAUUAAAGUUGUAACUCAACUGAUCCAAGUCGCAACUGAAACAGAUCUGGUGGAUUACGUCUUGACCCAAAGAAAAACAAAGGCUCCGUGAGCUUCUAUUUGGGAUUCCCAGCCAAUGGCUGGUACAAGUUCCUGGUCUUCGCCCUGGACGAGACGGACCCUGGUGACUCCUGCCCCAACGUCUUCAACUACUUGAUCAACGUGCAGAACAUCAAGAAGGCGGCCAGGCCCUACCCCAGGGUCUACACCAAAUUCUACACCGACUGCGCCUUCCUAUACCAGCCCCUGGUGCUGCACUCCGAGUCCAAGAACCUGGACAAGGUCCAUUUUGAGUUGACCGUGCCCGGAGCCUACAAGGUGGCCCUGCACGUGGUGGACGAGUGGUUCCUGAUGACCAAGAUGGGCGAAGACAAAUGGGACGGGGUAUUUAACCUCUCCAAGUUUAAGAAACCGGGCACCAAAGUGCAAGUAAUGGCCGCCUUUGACCCUGAAGGGACUAUAUACUCGGCACUUUUGGACUAUAUAAUGUAGUUGGCAGAAACAGGUCAGACUUAUACGCUUGCGAAAGUCAUUGAAAGGUGUAAAAUAGAUUGCAAUAUAAAUUAAAACACUAUACAAGGAAUGUUAUCUUUUUUCUUUUGUCUUGGUUACAAAAAUACAAUUAUGUAAUACAUCCCCUGGCUUCUUUAAUCUACAGAGCAAGGAAUUAAAUAUUGAUACAGCUGUACUAUUAGAGAAGUAAUGUGAUACAGGAUUGUUUAUACUGUUGCCUUUUCUUUAAAGUUUCUCUAAUAUUUUAUAAUGAAUAUGCAAUUGAAACUGAAAUAAACUGUACAAUUAUGCCCGGAUAUGGAUAGGUCGAA
rnacentral:sRNA from 1 species